GGUGAGUAAGAAAAAGCGAAAGCUUCCUUCUUUUCCUUCCUGUUUCUCGGGCCCCCUGGGGGAAGCACAGGAGCCUCUCGCAUCCUCACCCCAGCGCAGCUUUAAAGAACAGAAACCAGAACAGCCAUGAGAGAUGUCUCGUUCCAGCUGGGACUGUUGUCUUAAAGCACCCCAGGAGCUGGAGGGGACCCUACGGUGCUGCGUGCACAGGGGUUGCCGAGCCUCCUCCUGAAACAUGUCCUGGCAGCUCAAAGCCCACUCUUUGCAAAGCGGCCCUUUCCAUCGCUGUGUCGCCCUCGUCAUUUAAAAGUUCUGCAUCCUGCGUCUCAAGGCCAUUUGCCACGCAUCCGAAGGCUCUUUUUGGAGCUGCGCAGAAUCCACACCCUCCUCACCUGCCUGGCAGCCUUUCCCAGUCUUUAGAGAGGGAUAGAACCCCUUGAGUGAUUCCAAAGCUUCUACCGGCCCAGCCCUGAUUCCUCACAUACUUAGUCUUUCCCAAGUGGGCUGGCCAGAUGGGCUCGGCCCUCCAGAUAAGAUCAGACACUGCCUGUGCCUGGUACAUCAUCUCCCCAUCUCUGGACCUCUAAACGUUAUUAGCUCAGAUGUUUUUCUUUUUCUUUUUUUUUUUUUUUUUUUUUUUGUUGUUGUUGGCCGUACCCAUGGCAUAUGGAGGUUCCUGGGCCAGAGAUCGAAUCCUAGCUGCAGCUGCGACCUAUGCGACUGUGACACAGCUUCGGCAACGCCAGAUCCUUAACUCACUUCGCUGAGCCAGUGAUCAAACCUGAAUCUCAGCAGCAACACCAGCCGUUGCAGAGACAAUGACGGUCCCUUAACUCACUGCCCCACAGUGGGAACUCCAGUGAUAUUCUUUUUAAAUAAGCAGUACUCAGAGUUCCCGUCAUGGUGCAGUGGAAACGAAUCUGACUAGGAACUAUGAGGCUGUGGGUUCGAUCCCUGGCCUCGCUCAGUGGGUUAAGGAUCCAGCGUUGCUGUGAGCUGUGGUGUAGGUUGCAGAUGCGGCUCAGAUCUUAUGUUGCUGUGGCUGUGAUGUUGGCCGGCGGCUACAGCUCCGAUGAGACCCCUAGCCUGGAAACCUCCAUAUCCCGCAGGUGUGGCCCUAAAAAGGCAAAAAGACAAAAAAUAAAAAAAUAAAAAAUAAUAAAUAAGCAGUACUCAACGAGGGAGAUACAUUUCCUGUCAUCGGACAGAGCGUGGGCAUGAAAGAGAUAAGGCCAGCAAGUCUGCCUGCCUCCAGACCUCCUGGAUGCCGGGAUCUGGCCGUAAAGACCCUUCUGUGUGGGAGAAUUCAUGCAGAUGGCCAUGUCACGUGGCCAAGGCCAAAGCGCCCCCAGACAGAGCAGGGAUAUAUUGCCAGGAGCAGAGGGCUGAGCCGGCGGAAGGCAGGUGGGUGUGGCAGCGAGAGGCUGCUGGAAAAAAGGAGGCAGGAAGGACAGAGGCGCGGGGGGCGGGGGUGUUUAACACAUGAGGACCAGCGAGGACAGAAGAGGGGAGCGUUAGCUCAGCAGCACGGAGACCGUGACCUCGCCGCCCUGGCCAGGGAACCCUUGCUCCCGUCAGCAGGUCGAGCCCGGGAGCAAAGAUCAAUGCACAACGUCCAGUCUGCUGGGACCUAGUGGUGCCCUCCUCAACGGCACUAUGCACGAUCUGUGGGCAGGGCUGGGUUCUCAGCAUGGCCCCCUUUUUUCUGCACCCUGGUAAGAACUCUAACGAGGCAAACUGCAGAGGAGAACGGGGUCCCACCUGCCACCCCCUGUUCCCUGGGUGGGGAUGGGUGUGUCUGAUGGGCUGCCCGCCUCCUCCAGGCAGGCCACCUGGGCUGGGCCAGCUCCGAAAGCCCUGACCUCUGGCUUCUUCAUCUGGCUCGCCCACCAUGGCAAUGCUGCAGUUGGGGGCCUGGCCUGGCUGUAAUGCGGCACCCCUUUAUCUUGCCACCAAUGGAAGGUGACACCAGAAGAGGAAAAACGAGAAGCAGGACACACCUGUUCAGAGGGGCAGGGUCAAAUGCUGCAGAUAUUUCCAAACUGAGUCACCACGAGGAAGCACUGUGCGCGUUCCUUGGUCCCACACUCCGCCCCCCGCCCCGCCCCUCUCUCUCUGAGCACGAAAGAGGAAAUGCCAGCUUUGAAUUGGAGGUUUGCUGGGGACUAAAUGAACUCGGAGCUUCACCAAGAAGACCUAAUGUAGAUACUUCACUGGAAAAGAAAAAUUUCAGCCUGAGAAACAGGUCAUGUGUCCGAAGCCCCUGCGGCACCCUGGGGAAGCUUGCUUAUUACCAGCUGUAAAUGAGGUUCAUUUGGAGGGGGGAGCCUGCCACCUUUUCAGAGUGAAUUCGGAGGUGACAAUCAGGCUUAGCUUUCUUCCUGAUGGUGGGUAAGCCCUGCUAGACCUGAGUCCUCAACAGGGAGUCACCUGGGAGCCUGCUGACUCAGCCUUGUCUAUGAAUUACGACGUCACUGAUGAAGUUCUCGACAGAGGCACUUGCUCCAACUAAAAUUUCACAGUCAACACCAUUAAAAACACCGUCUCUACUGGCUGCAGGCCACCAUACUCUGCUCUCCAUGUUUAAUUUACUAUUUAGUUGCCAGCACACUCUGGAGCACUGUUUAAACCUAGCCUCCGCUAGAAUGAUGUCUUCAGUUACGCUAAGAGACACAACCGGAACUGAGAAAGCUGGAAUCAGGAUUCGGUGACUUUUCAGAAUUAAAACAUGCGUGUCCUAGCCAUCGUCCAACUCACUGCUGACAAGGAAAUUCCGCUGAAUGGCUAACUUGGCCCCAAGAGAAGACACCAUCCCCCAGUGCAAGCAAGCUCGCUGUACCCGCUCAGAAGAGCUGUCACUUACCUUCAAAACUCUUGUCUGAUUCUGCAAGUCCGUGAUUCAGUUCUUGAACACUCUUCCCACGAAGGAGUCCGUAGGUGAUGAUCACACUCCCGUUUGAAGAAGAGUCGCGAAUGGCAAUUGUACUGCGGAUCCAUUCUUGAGUGGCAAGGAUGGAUGAAAUGACCACGAAAGCCCCCAAGCUGGUGACAAAGCUGGAGAAGAACAUCAAUGUCUUCUUCACCGUGGGCAUGUUCUCUGGAAAACAAGGGUCCUGGGAUGAAAAAGGAAAGCUCUUUCUAUGAGACGUUCGUACCUACUCAUCUGAAGUCCCCUGUGUAGAAAUGGCCUCGGAUAUGUCGCGUCGAAUAUAAAACCGGGCUCUCGGGAGGAUGGGUUAGCCUCACGGACUCUGAACAGGAUCAUAAAGAUUUACAGCGCUGGACUUUGGGCUGGAGGAAGACGUUUCUAUGGUGACAGCCAACCAGCAGAAACAAGGGCUGGACAUGCUCUUUGGGAGACUUCCUCAAUCACACAAUUAAUUUGUAACUCCUUUUCAUGGGCCUCGGAAGCAAGGUCGGCCCGACAUUUCAGGACAGGCCUGGAAUUCCUUCUAAAUAAUGAUGGAAACAAAAGGCCUUUCCUGCCCUUCCCCCCACCCCCAUAUUACUGAUUCUAGCAGCCAACAAAGACUCCCAACUGCCAAGGGUUAAUGACUGGACCCUACCAGUGGUUCCCAAAGGAAAUCCUAAGGGGAUGCAGCCUUAGUAAGAAGGGUACUGGGGAGUAGAGCAAGUUGACACUUUUGUUUUUGGACCUUGUUAAAGAAGUGCGGCUUUCCAGUUGGAGCGUACCUGUGUGUUAUUUAAAAAACUGGAUACGUUUCAUCUUUCUGUCGCUUCAGUUCUCUGAAUGGAAGGGGUUCUGAAUGUUCCUGCCUUCUAGCCAUUCUCUGCUGAGCAGCAAAUAGUUUGUCAAAGGUCAUUGCUGGCUCUCAGGGAAACCCCUUCAAUGGGAAGAAGUUCAUUUCUCAAGAUAACAAAUAAAGGUUCACACCAUAUGCUGUA